rnacentral:tRNA from 10 species
GGAGCGUGUUCGUCCGCGACGUCACGGUUAAAUCAAACGACAGAACUAAACAUGUAGAACUGGUCGUGGACCGCUUCUGGACGCGGGUUCGAUUCCCGCCGCCUCCACCA